CGUGUAGGCGGUCUUUUAAGUCUGAUGUGAAAGCCCCGGGCUCAACCUGGGAAGUGCAUUGGAAACUGGGAGACUUGAGUACGGGAGAGGGUAGUGGAAUUCCUAGUGUAGGAGUGAAAUCCGUAGAUAUUAGGAGGAACACCGGUGGCGAAGGCGGCUACCUGGACCGAUACUGACGCUGAGACGCGAAAGCGUGGGGAGCAAACAGGAUUAGAUACCCUGGUAGUCCACGCCGUAAACGAUGAGUACUAGGUGUUGCGGGUAUUGACCCCUGCAGUGCCGCAGCUAACGCAUUAAGUACUCCGCCUGGGAAGUACGGUCGCAAGACUAAA
rnacentral:rRNA from 1 species